CCUACUGCUACAGCAAAUAUUAAACUCAGGUUAACUCCUAGCCAGUUUAAAAUAAAUCAUUACACUAAAUGCCUAUUUACCGAAGUUCCUAUUACCUGAUAUAUCAUGUCUGGCAUCUAACAAAAUAUCACAAAGUGUGCUGAAAGCCAAGAAAAUACAGCCUGAAAUAACAGAUCAAGCAUCACAACCAAAUUUAGACAUUAUGUUCCCAAUAACAAACAAGAUGAACUCUCUGUGGCUCAAAAGUUAAAGGAGAGUAAUGGAGGCUAAGCAAGAUAGUGGAAUAAAAGGCUCCACCAAUCAUCAUUCCGUCAAGGACACCAAGUUAACAAGUAUCUACACAGAUGAAACAGCUUCAUAAGAACUAAAAAUCAGAUGAGCCCUCAUAGUACCAGAUUUUAAGUUUGUAUCACUGAAAGAGGCACUGAAGAGGUAGAAAACAGCCUCGAAUAGCUGACGCCACUCCUCCUCCACCCCCAAGCAGUGGCAGUGUGAUGCAGAGUGUUUCCAGGUGCUGGGGGAGGGAGAGCACAGCAAUUGUGAAGCAUUGAACUCAAUGCUGUCCUGUUAGAACAGGAAGGAAACAAGACAAAACUCAGCUGAUGCCCACCCACGGAAGGAGCAUUUAAACCAGCAUUAGCCAGAGCGGAAUCGCCAAUCCCAGCAGUUGGAACUUGAGUUCCUGCAAACUUCACCACUGAAGGCCAAAGUGCCCUUGGUCUCUAUGAACUUGAAAGGCAGUUUAGACCAUAAGGACUGCAACUCUUAGCUAAGUCCUAGUGCUGAACUGGGCUGAGACAGUGGACUAGGGGGUACAUGACAUUUUGAGAUACCUGCUGGAGCUGCUAAGGGAGUACUGGCAUCACCCCUCCCCUAACCAAAAGCUGCACAGCUCACAGCUCAAAAAGAAACUCCUUCCUUCUGCUUGAGAAGAGGAGAGAGAAGAGUGAGGAGGACUUUGUAUUGCAUCUUGGAUACCAGCUAAGCCACAGCUGGACAGGGCAUCAAUCAGAGUCGCAAGGGCACCAUUCCAGGCCCUAGCUCUCAGAUGACAUUUCUAAACACACCCACAACCAGAAGGGAACCCACUGCCUUGAAGAGAAGGAUGCAGUCCAGGGGCAUUGGUCACCUUGGGCCCUGAAUAACCAGCAGUGAUACCCAGGUACUACAGUACAGGCCUUGGGUGAGCCCCUGAAACUAGCUGGCUUUAGGUGAGAAUCAGCAUAUUACCAGCUGUGGCGGCUAUGGGGCAAGAUCCGUUCUGCCUGAGAAAAACAGAGGGAAAAGUAAAGGGGACUUUGUCUUGCACCUUAGGUAACAGCACGGCCACAGGGGGAUAGAGCACCAAGUGGGCCUGUGGGAUCGCCAAUUCCAGAACUUGACCCUUGGAUGGCAUUUCUGGAUCUGCGAUGGGGAAGACAGGAGCCCAUUGUCCUGAAAGCUUUAGGUGUCUCAGAACAAACAGAGAUGUCCGCUUUCAUCAGCGUUUUUCAACACACUACUGGAAUUCCGAGCUAGAGCAAUCAGACAAGAGAAAGAAGUAAAGGGUGUCCAACUGGAAUGAAAGAAGUCAAAUUAUCCUUGUUUGCAGACCCUCCAGAUCCUAAAGGGAUUAACUAAGAUCUGAAUAGGAAACAUUUGUCAUCUAUUGUCUCUAAGGGUAGCCGCUGUAAAACUUCAGAAGAACUUUGGUCUUCACAGUCUUUAUCUUAACGUGAACAUUCCCUUUCUAUCAAUCCCAGGUCUUUAGACAAACUCAACCAAUUGUCAACCAGAAAAUGUUUAAAUUCACCUAUAGCCUGGAAGCCCCCCAGUUUUGAGUUGUCCCACCUUUCCAGACCAAGCCAAUGUAUUUCUUAAAUGUAUUUGAUUGAUGAAUCAUGCCUCUCUAAAAUGUAUAAAACUAACUUGCGCCCCGACCACCUAGGGCACAUGUUCUCAGGGCCUGCUGUGGUCUGUGUCACAGGCCAUGGUCACUCAUAUUUAGUUUAGAAUAAAUCUCUUCGAAUAUUUCACAGCGUUUGACUCUUCAUUGAUGGAAAUUCUAAUUAUUAAUAGCCACAAGAUAGAUACUUUAAAUUAG
rnacentral:lncRNA from 10 species